rnacentral:lncRNA from 1 species
UUGAGGUCGGCAUUGUGCAGUGCCAACUGGUGAGAGCAGCUUUCCUGUUGUGUAAAGUGUUUGAUAUGAAAUUAGUAAUAAUGGUACAGUGUUAGAUGAGCUAAUACCACUUGUAUGAAGGUGUAAUCUUGUGUACAUGUGUUUGUUUUAUAACCAGUUUGCUUAUUUCUGUUAUUUUUUUCUAAUUUACACUGUCCCACAUCAGGUCGAUUAUCAAUAAGUGUCAAGUUGGAAAAAUGAUGUAUGAAUUUUGUUUUCAUGAAACUUGAAACCUUUUGUUUAUUUUGUUUUUGCACAGUUUAAUAAAGCAUACAAAGAAACAAAAAUAACAAAUUAUAAGUAGUGCAGAGAGAGGCAGAAAACCCAAAAGGCUUAUUUGAAGCCUCCACCUACACUAACAUCGAACAAUUUAAAAUUUAUAUACGUUAUUAAAUUUAAUAUAUGUGCAUAUCAGAAAAUAAUGAUCAAAAGUUAUGAGAAACAAAUAACUGAAAAUAUAUAACUAAAAAAAGAGAGAAAAAGAAGAUAUUAAAAUAGAACAUUUGUGGUUACUACAGAGAUAAUGACAAAAAAAAAAUCAAAGAAAUGAUUAAAAACAAUUACAUGCAAAUAACAUGAAAAAGAAAACUAUUUCAAAACACCAGUUAAAUGAUCCUUUAAACAUCUUUUAUAACCAUUUGUGGAGGAACAUUUUUUAUAUCAGGUGAGAAAAGUCAUUUCAUAAUUUGCUACCUCUGUAUCUGAUUGAAAAUUGGCCUCUGCAAGUAAGAAUAUUGGAAGAACCUAGUUGGAAGAGUUCCUGAGACACUGUUAAGUAUGAAAUUAUUUUGUAUUAACGGGAUAUAAAUUUCACAAACAGGUUGGCUUUGAAAAAAAGUGUAAAUACUAAAUCAAUAAUUUAUGAACGACACAGCCUACAGCCUGAUUCUAAUGGGUCUAAGCAGGUUACAGAUUAAACAAAGUGCAGAUAGUUCUUCAUGUAAAAGGUGUUCUUUUAAACUUGUGGCUCACAGGGACAAAACACACUUAUUUCAUUAUAACACAGCACGUGUGCAGACAUAGGUAAAGUUGACUAACAGUUGGUCCGGAAAUGAUGUCAUUAUCAGAAAAAGGCAUUGCUUCCUGUGACGCUCUGGAGGAAAAGACGUCUCACAUCUCUUAAAACAAAUUGCUUUAUCCAAUCUGUCCUCUCUUCAUUUCUCUGCAACAUCUUCAUACGUCUCUGGAGGACAGGGCUAAGAUGCUAGUGAAUGGCGCGAGAGAAGGAUGCAAGAGUGAAAGUUGACUUUUCAGUCUACAGUCUGGGUAGGUGCUUGGCUGUACUGGUAGACUUUCUUAACUAUUUUGAUGUCUAUAUUUCUGGCCUUCUCCUUCCUAAUCCCUGUCUCCUCUCUGUGCCCAUGAUCACUGGACUCUAAGACCAAUAGCUCCUCAGUCUGCCUGCACCUCCUCACCUGUUCUGGAGACAUGAAUACCUCCUCUUCCUCUGACAUCAAACCACCAAAGCCUUAUCCAGGAGAAAUUGUUUAAACCUCCUGAGUUAUCUCUGCUUGUGCUCUGCCCUCAGGUCCCCUCAGGGGUUUCAAAUUAAAUAAAGUGCGAAAUUCACCAGAUGGCUAACCAAAAAAAUGAGAAAAAAAUAAUAAUAAUAAUAAUUAAAAAAGAGAGCACAGUCUGCAAAAUGUUCAUAAAAAUCAUCUCCACCCAGGCAUCAAUCUUAGGACAAAACAUGGCAUUGAUAUUUGCCAUGUUUUGUCUAAUGUUUGUCAUAAAUUUUAGCUUUUCCUCUUUUCAGUAAGGAGCUUUGAAUUCGAUUGAUUCAACUCUCCAUGACCUGCAGUUUUUGUCUCUGGCUUUGUCGUGUCAUUCUGGGAUUUUUAAAUCAUUUUUUUCCAAAUUUAUUCAUUGCUGUAGUUUAUACAUUCAGGAGACUAUGUGUUUGUCUUCAUUACCUUGGUAUCCAGAUGUUUUAUCUGUGUCAAAGCUGGUUUAUUUUGCAGAGGCAGAUUUUCUUACCUGGCUGAAGCUACCUUUCAUUGCCAUUUUAUGCCUCUGUGACCACAUUUCCCCUGAAACACAGACUUCAAUCUGUGCUUUUCCUGCAGAAACAGAGAAAAAAAGAGAUGCUCCCCCAGUCGCUCUCCCUGCUGUCCUCCAGGACACUGUGCCCAAUCCCUCUAAUGAGCCCUGUGUGUGUUAGUACGAGUGUGUGUGCUGCAGGAAAGGUCACAUCUCCCUGGAGGUCUGUGCAGUAAUCAGGCUGUUUCCAACAGAUAAUAAAACAACCGCAGAGUGGAACCAAAAGCUGCACAUUGUCAACCUGGAGGGACAUUUAGAGGACAGACUGGAACUCCUGGGCCUCACCUUGGUCUGGCAGCAUUUAGAUCCAGCAGCAGGUCCAGACUUUGGGACGUUUCAAUGACUUUUGCUCUAAAUUGACUGAGGCUAGUUUCAAAGAGGGUUACACAUGUUUUCUGCUUUUCUGGGGAAUUCAAAGCUGUAUACAUGUGGAUACACAACAAACAAUACACAAUUCUAGAGACUACAGUUUUAAGACAAGACUUAAAAUAUAAUAUAGUGUUGCUGUGCAAUGAAAAACAUAUAUCUCUACUUUUAGCGAUCUGGACUUUUUUCAAUACACCCUUGGUCCAUAAUGUUCCUUAACAACCUGUAGCUUUCGGUAUCCGAAUGAUGGAUAGAAAAGUCAUUUCAUAACAUUAUCUUUUCAACAAGUAUCUCCGUUGGGUGUCAGAAGUGUCAACAAAGUACGUAUCUCCUGCCCUGGCACUGCAUUGUCAUGUCAGCAAACAGACUUCACUCUGUGACAGACUCAUUACAGUCCAGGGUAAUGCUACGCUAAUGUCCUCACAUCGACUGCAGGCAGACCGAAGUACAAACAGCGGCUUGACAACAGUGUGCCAAAAGGGACAAAAUUUCCCCCUUAAGUCAGUUUUUAGACCUUUAUUCAUCAUGAUUAAUGUUUUCUUGCUGACAGCCCUCUCAUGGCUGUUUAACAAAGUGUGGUUUAAGUGAAUGGUGAACUCAAGCAAUUUAGCGGCAUCUGAAACAUCUAUUAACAUGAAUGAUAAUGAAACAAGAACUCAUCAGUUAAUCAGUUUCUAAGUCAAAUACAAAACUGUCUCUGGACUGUAAAGUUCAUGUUUUCCUCAUUAAUCCAGAGCGUGAACCUCCAGUACAAACAUACUCUGCUGGUAGUAUAUGGAGAGUUUUUUUUUUUUCAGGGCAGGGUAUAAAAUGAUGUACUGCUCCUUCAGAGGAGGCUUCAUUUCCAUUAUGACCAGAAAUCUGACCUGUGAGAGUCAGAUCUGGGAGGAAUCCUCUGCAGGUUUGCUGUGAAACACAAAGCCAGGUGUGAGUGUGUCCAGAGAAAAAUUACUAAAGUCAGAGGAAGAUGCAACUGUAUGUCUGGAUUGCUUCAGAUGAGCUCAGGAGCUGUUAGCUGGAAUUGUGGUUUUAUGGCGAGUGAAAAUCCCCGGGAGAAGUGAAUGCAACAAGAUUUCAAUCAUUGCCGCGGGAGCAGCAGGCUGAAGGAUGGUGUGUUCACAGACCACAGACAGGGGUGGAGGAAUGGGGGGAUGGCAGGAGGAGAAGACAAACAAUCCUCAGAAAUGAUUUCAGCCUGAUUCUGGUGAGACCUGGAUCCUCUCUGCCCCUGUCUUCUUCCAGGAAAACAAAAAACUCUGUUGUCAUGGCAACCAGCUGUCUCAGUUUUCUACCACAGUUUUCAUACAUAUUUCUAUUGAUUUAUCUGAGUGGAAAAAAAAAAUCACCUGUUGGGUGCCCGCUGAAUACAAUAAUUACUCCGCACCAGCAGGGCAAAGUUUUACACAGUUUAAUCUCUAUCAGAACAAACAGGAUUUUUAAGUUUUAGUUUUUUGUCAUAGAAAAUUAGCUGAUAUGUUUCAUAUCCAGACAGACUCUCAAACCCCACACUCUGUUGACCUUUUUUUUCAAAUCAAAUCAAAUAAAAUCAAAUUUUAUUUAUCAGGCAUGAAAAUCUCUCACCUUUCGGCGAAAUUCGCCGUUUUGAAGUAAAAAAGGGUGACCUACGUGAAUCGUGUAGAUCCGAGGAGAAAUUUUUCAAGGGGGGG